UGAGGAAUAUUGGUCAAUGGGCGCGAGCCUGAACCAGCCAAGUAGCGUGAAGGAUGACUGCCCUACGGGUUGUAAACUUCUUUUAUAAAGGAAUAAAGUGAGGCACGUGUGCCUUUUUGUAUGUACUUUAUGAAUAAGGAUCGGCUAACUCCGUGCCAGCAGCCGCGGUAAUACGGAGGAUCCGAGCGUUAUCCGGAUUUAUUGGGUUUAAAGGGAGCGUAGGUGGAUUGUUAAGUCAGUUGUGAAAGUUUGCGGCUCAACCGUAAAAUUGCAGUUGAAACUGGCAGUCUUGAGUACAGUAGAGGUGGGCGGAAUUCGUGGUGUAGCGGUGAAAUGCUUAGAUAUCACGAAGAACUCCGAUUGCGAAGGCAGCUCACUAGACUGCAACUGACACUGAUGCUCGAAAGUGUGGGUAUCAAACAGGAUUAGAUACC
rnacentral:rRNA from 1 species